AAUUCACCUGAUUGAUGUAUGAUUACCUGCUGAACUUAAGCAU
rnacentral:rRNA from 1 species